rnacentral:rRNA from 1 species
GAUCCUGGCUCAGGAUGAACGCUGGCGGCGUGCUUAACACAUGCAAGUCGAACGAAGCACCUUGAUUUGAUUCUUCGGAUGAAGAUCUUGGUGACUGAGUGGCGGACGGGUGAGUAACGCGUGGGUAACCUGCCUCAUACAGGGGGAUAACAGUUAGAAAUGACUGCUAAUACCGCAUAAGACCACAGCACCACAUGGUGCAGGGGUAAAAACUCCGGUGGUAUGAGAUGGACCCGCGU